rnacentral:lncRNA from 1 species
CGCCCAAGACAUGUCACCACAGUGAGGCAGAAUUUGUAAAACCCCAUUCUACAAAUACUAGCAAAGGAAGGUUAUGAUUUAUGGAUAUGGAUGGACUAUAAUAUUUAAAUGACACAUUUCUGAUAUAUUCACAAAAUCUUUAUAGAAAGUAUUAAAACUCAAAAAAGAAAAAAGACAGGAGUCAAAUACAGAGAUGAAAUGUACAAAACAAAUGAGCAGGCAAACUAAAAGUUCUUGAAAGUAUUUUACUUCAGAUUGAAAAAUGAACAGCUUCCAGACUGUUCAUUGCAAGAUACACAGUAUUCACGAAUACAAUGCUGGUCAUUUGAGGAAAUGUACACACCUCAAUUUCUCCUUCAUGCUUUUUCUUUUAGAAAGAUACUGUUUACCAAAAAGAAACUUCAGCAGUACAGGAAAAACUAUUUUCCCAAUAAAUUUACGAAAACCUAAGAUUCCCAAUGGAAUCAAGAUUAUCUUCCCGCUACCACCACCUUAAUAUAAUCACAUGCUUAUUGGAACACUAAUAUCCGCACCCUAAGAGUACAUUUAUUUUCAACGAUGAGGGUGAUUCUUUAAAGAAAGAAACUUCAGUGUGUAAAUGUAGCAUGGAUCUCUGUAAGUGCUAAGUGUCUGAAACAGGCAGCUAAUACUGGAGUUAAUAUUAUCUUAUACGUAACUGUUCCCUUAGCAGGAAACCUAAGUCUACACAUUCACAACAGUCCUAGGAAAUAAAUACUGUGAUUAUGCACAAUGUCAUGACGAACCAGUUUCAAAAAACAAAAGCUCAACAUCUUGAUAAAAACUCUGAUCAGAAUAAAAUGUGACUCUCAAAUUUAAAACAUUGUCAGAAUAACAUCACAUUUAAAAUCUUCCAUGGUUUACACACGUAUUAUGAGUCUCCAGUUCUGAAACACAUUUUUCCGUGGUGAAUUAAAAGACGAACAUAUUGAAAAUUGUCAAUUUCAGUGAUGACAUCAAUUUUGGUCUUACUUUAGCAUUAUUUUCUUUAUAAAAAGUUGUACUAAGUGUCCAUUAGUGGUCUGAUUGGUCUUCAGUAUUUCACAAAUGUAUAUAAAAGAAAUUCCUAAAAGCGAAUAGUACUUUAUAUGUGUAUAUAUAUAAAAAAGAAUCUCAUCUCAGAAAUGGCUGUAAUG